UUGUUUGGUCUUCUGUAAAUUGUAAGAUGAUUCUUUCAAUCACAGACAAUGGUUAGGCGAGCAACAAUGGUGGGGUUAGAUGAGUAAUUGAUCUAAAAAGUUAGAAAAGUUGGCAGACAUCUCUUUUAUAAAAAAAAAAAAUCUACUUCCGUUCUUUUUACGUAGUGGUGUAUUAGUAAUAGGCAUCAAGGAUUAAUGAGGUUGCCUAACCAAUUCGAUUAGUACACUAAACUAACUUGGACUCGUUUAUUUGUAGACGGAGGCUACUAUGUGAACGUUUCGGAGGUUAAUUACCUUGAGUUUUUACGCGCGAUCAAGGUUGGUAAAAGGGUACUCGGUUACGUGUGAGGAGACGUUAGAAUAAUCACGUAGCUAAGAAAAUUUAGUUUAUUCCCGAAUUUAAUUAUUUCCUCUCCAUUAUUGGUUUCAAAAUAAUUGCAGUUUUGAUGUAAUGACUAUUUUAUUUUGCCACAACUUAGACGUUUAUUUAAAUAUUAUGUAAUUUUUGCUUUGCAUUUAUUUUCUACGGAAAAUAAGUGUAGCAGUAACACUCCCAGAGUUCGAUGGUUGGGUUUUUGAAAGUUAAAGGUUACUCUUAUUGUUUUUUUAAAGACUUGAAUUUUGGGGGUGUUACAAUUUUGAUUUUGGUUGUUUAUUUUGCUUGUUAAUUUGCAGCCUUGACCCUUCUGCUUG